CAUCGGAUGACUGAAAGUAAGUAGUGGUCUCUUAAACCAAUAAAUAGUAAUUAACGUUUACUUCCGAUGA
rnacentral:tRNA from 1 species